AUUGAACGCUGGCGGCAUGCCUUACACAUGCAAGUCGAACGGCAGCACGGGAGCAAUCCUGGUGGCGAGUGGCGAACGGGUGAGUAAUAUAUCGGAACGUGCCCAGUAGUGGGGGAUAGCCCGGCGAAAGCCGGAUUAAUACCGCAUACGACCUGUGGGUGAAAGCGGGGGAUCGCAAGACCUCGCGCUAUUGGAGCGGCCGAUAUCAGAUUAGCUAGUUGGUGGGGUAAAGGCCUACCCAAAGGCGACGAUCUGUAGCUGGUCUGAGAGGACGACCAGCCACACUGGGACUGAGACACGGCCCAGACUCCUACGGGAGGCAGCAGUGGGGAAUUUUGGACAAUGGGCGCAAGGCCUGGAUCCAGCCAUGCCGCGUGUGGGAGAAGGCCUUCGGGUUGUAACCG
rnacentral:rRNA from 1 species